AUUGAACGCUGGCGGCAGGCCUAACACAUGCAAGUCGAGCGAGCGGCGGACGGGUGAGUAAUGUCUGGGAAACUGCCUGAUGGAGGGGGAUAACUACUGGAAACGGUAGCUAAUACCGCAUACCAUCAGAUGUGCCCAGAUGGGAUUAGCUGGUAGUUGGGGUAACGGCUCAACUAGGCGACGAUCCCUAGCUGGUCUGAGAGGAUGACCAGCCACACUGGAACUGAUACACGGGCCAGACUCCGACGGGAGGCAGCAGUGGGGAAUAUGGCACAAUGGGCGCAAGCCUGACGCAGCCAUGCCGCGUGUGUGAAGAAGGCCUUCGGGUUGUAAAGCACUGUCAGCGGGGAGGCGUUACCCGCAGAAGAAGCACCGGCUAACUCCGUGCUAGCAGCCGCGGUAAUUC
rnacentral:rRNA from 1 species